rnacentral:rRNA from 1 species
GAUGAACGCUGGCGGCGUGCCUAAUACAUGCAAGUCGAGCGAACAGACGAGGAGCUUGCUCCUCUGACGUUAGCGGCGGACGGGUGAGUAACACGUGGAUAACCUACCUAUAAGACUGGGAUAACUUCGGGAAACCGGAGCUAAUACCGGAUAACAUGUUGAACCGCAUGGUUCAACAGUGAAAGACGGUCUUGCUGUCACUUAUAGAUGGAUCCGCGCCGCAUUAGCUAGUUGGUAAGGUAACGGCUUACCAAGGCAACGAUGUGUAGCCGACCUGAGAGGGUGAUCGGCCACACUGGAACUGAGACACGGUCCAGACUCCUACGGGAGGCAGCAGUAGGGAAUCUUCCGCAAUGGGCGAAAGCCUGACGGAGCAACGCCGCGUGAGUGAAGAAGGUCUUCGGAUCGUAAAACUCUGUUAUUAGGGAAGAACAAAUGUGUAAGUAACUAUGCACGACUUGACGGUACCUAAUCAGAAAGCCACGGCUAACUACGUG